rnacentral:lncRNA from 1 species
CUCAAAGGCAUUCUCAGAAAAGCUUCCUGCAAGCAAAUACCUAUCUUUCUCUGCUUCCCAAUGAGACAAACCUGUACCAGCUGGGGCCCAGAGAUUCCAAGGGAGGGGAACCUGAAUGGGAUUUGGGAACUGCAUCACACCAAUCUUGGCUAUCACUACAUAUUCUGGCACUGUUGACAAUGGGACAGAAAAGCAAUAUAUGAGGUCAACAGCCAUUCCCUUGCAAUCAGGAGACAGGGGAAGAAGAGAAAGGAACCUCGCCCUUCCACCUUUUUAAAUUCUGUGUUUCAUUUUAUUUAUCUUAUAAUAAUAUUCUACAGUGAAAAAUCUCCUAAGUCUUGUUCUGGAGCCUGCACAAUGGUCUCCACUUUCUCCUACCUGUCCAGGAGAGCCCGUAAUUAGUACUUAAUUAUAGUCUAUAUGACCAUUUUGGCCAGGAAGAAAAGAGCAGC